rnacentral:lncRNA from 1 species
AGGGUUGUUGAUUAUUGUAUAUUUAUAUAUUUGAAUAUGUAAGCUCAUACAAGUACGUUGGUUUAAUGUUGAUAUUUGGUAUGGAACUAUGGAACUAACAAUAUUAGACACUACUUAUCUCAGGUUGUGUGUUGUAUUUUUGAUAUUUGAUUAGGUACAUACUAUUUUUUUUUAUACGUAUCUUUUAUUAUCUGGUUAUGAGAUUUGUCAUAUUGGAAAGAUGGGGUGGUUCUUAAUUAGAUAUUGGUUUACUUUAUCAACAUUUGUCACAGAUAUCCUAAAUACUUUAUAAUAAUUUAUAUCCUUAUGCCCUACACAGUAUGAUUCUGGAAUUAGUUUGGAAUUCUGAUGUAUGUAUGGAUUUCUUCUUAAGAACUAGUCUGCCAAUGCUCUGUAAUGUGGGUUCCUAGGUAACCUAGUGAAUGCGUGGGUUCGAAAUUCAGCAACUGAUCACUGCUAUCCGAUUUCGUAACCUAUGUUUUCAUAGCAGAGUACGCAGAUGUUUAUCCAUCAAAAUAUUUCUGGUCAGGAAAUGUUGGCCACAUGUCCUGACCAUCCUUGUGUAAUUAUUCCAGUUACAUUUUUUAGCAUUUGAUAGGGAAUAUUUAGUUUAUAUUAUGUCCCGUACUUUAUAGGUAGUAGGUUCCUUUUAGUAUUUGAGGUGUUUGGACAAAUGAAUUGCUUAUUUUAGUAGAUUCCCUCUUCUUUCCUGAGGCAUUAGUUUUGUUGUUGAGAUUCAGGAAUAUUUCCUGGAUAAUUCUAUGUAUGCGAGAACGUAUGAAUCUACAGUUUUAUUCAAAAUUGGUUGCUCGUUCCCGUCAUAUUAUUUUUUUCUAUCAUUUAUUAUGGUGUCAUAGAACUUGUAAGUUCACCAUUUAGAUUUUAUUAUUACAAUUGGUACGUUAUCUGUAUUUCUUAUUCCCAUGCAUCUAUUGUAGCUACAUGCUAUAGCUAGUGAACAACAGCACGGACCAAUUUUAGUUAGUCAACGACUUACUUUAGUCGAUAGACCUAAUUUAGUUUAUUUAGUAUUAGUGAGAAUUGGUACACAAAUCUUCCUGAUCGUUCUUCUUUGGAUAUGCUCAUAUAAAUCUGGUGUCCAUUGAUAGUCCGAUUUUGGUCCGAUUCCACAUUUAUUUUGAUUAAUGAGUUUUUGGAUAACUUUGAUAUGCUUACUCUUUGUAUUAUUUGGCACUGGUGAGAAUUGUUCCAUAAAUAUUCCUGAUUGUUCUGCUCUGGACAUGCUAUUAUGAAUCUGGUGUCCAUUGGUAGUUCAAUUUUGGAUUAAGUGUUCGAUUCGUCACUGAUUUUAGUUUUGAUUUCUUUUGUCUUACUUUAGUAUAUUUAUUUGGGUUAUGGUGCGAAUUGACUCAUACCUUUGCCUGGUUGUUCGUCCUUGGAUAUACCCUUUUUAAAUUUGAUGUCCAUGGAUAGUUCAAUUUUGGAUUUAGUGCCUGUUCGAUAUUUAUUUAUCAUUACGAACUUUAGUAUAUUAUUUAGCUUAUGUUUUGGUUUACAGACAAAAUGUCGAUGACAUUUUAAUAUGACUUCGAGUCAUCUUUGGCGAUUCAUAGUUUUGGUGUAGUGAUCAUCCUUCUUUCCCUGAUCCUUAAUUUGUGGUUACUUGUAAUCUUGCGGAUCAACGUAGAAUGAUAGAUUAUUACCACUUGGUUAUUAAUAUUUUGAAUUAAAAAAAAAUUUUUUUGCUUAAAAUUUUUUUCUCCGAGUAGAAGAGGAAUAUAACAUUCCGUUAAUUUCUAAUUAUCUUUAUAGUUAUUUUAUUUAAAAUUUAAUAACGGUUUGUCAUUAUGUCAUUAAGUUAUACUCAAAAUCAAUAAGAUCUAAUUAAAAUAAAUCUUUGACUGACGUCAUACUUAACUAGUAGUUGGCACGAGUUCUUCAGUUGGUAUUAGACACCAUUCGCUGUCAUGUAAGUUUGUUCUGUGAGGCUCCUCGUCUAACGACGGGAAAUAAUUGACACUUCGCUUGGUUAGCUAGAACGGAACGGCAGAUGGUUGAUCGGAAAUUACGGGAAUUUUAAUACGGAGUUUCAAGCUUCUAUAAGUAUUUAGUGGAAAAAUUAAUAGUGUUGUUGUUUGGAAGAGCUAGGAGACAAAGUUUGGAAGAUCCCGUAGAAAUUGAAGUCACACCAUCUGCCGUUUGGGUGAAAUUAUAAAGUAACCAGUCCAUCAGCUCCCCUAACAACCGGGAGCAACCGUUCUAGGCCAAGCCAGGUCACUUGGAGACCAGCCUGGAGAAUCUCCUCCCACGUAGCGUUGAAUUCUGCACUUCGCCCCGAAGGGCACCUUGAAUAAUUAGUACACGCUAGCACCAUCCCUGUGCUAAUUCUUCUACCAGGGAUUUCGGUAUCCAUAACAAGGACACUUUUGGGAACCAUAAUAUAGGGUUUGUUUUGGGGACACUUGGUACUUAUUUGCAAGUGAUUAUUACUCUACCAUCACAACACGUUAAUAUUUUUGUGUAAUAAUCAGGACAUUUAGUUCAAACUAAGUUUUAUAGUUUAAUCACACAUAUUUUUGUUUCAAGAUUUAGGUUGCAUUUUUUUUUUCAUAUUAUUAUAUCUAUAAUUUUUGAUAGUGUUUCCCAAACCAGUAAACUCUCUGGUCAAGGAGGUUUGAGCUCAGAUCAUCUUUUCCCUCAUAUGAGAUUCUCUUUACCUUUGUAUUAUAUUACCUGAAAUUUACUUGUACCAUUUAUUUAUUUAAUUAACUUUAUAUUUUUUUUGUUACUAACCUUGCUAGUCUCCACUUAUCAAUUUAAAUUUAUAUAUUUUAUUCUUUAUUGCUAAUUUAUUAACUUAUAUAACUUUAACGUACUUUAGCCAAUCAUUCUAAUUAAUUAAACUUAUUUGCUUAACUUUUUACUUAAAUUCAUUUUUUUAACUUUUAAUUAUAUCCCUGGACGCUAUUCCCUUUGAAUAGCUAUCCAUUUUACUUGUGAUAAAUUUUUAGUGACUACGCGUCGAAGCAACUGAUUUUUAUAUAUCAAGUAGACCGUAGAUCACAUUAAGGAGGCUGGUGCCUAUUUAACUCUUUGAGAGUUUAUAUUAUUGUUCAUUCGUUUGUAGUUUAGCGUUGCUGUACGUAUUUUAAUCGUACAAUUAUUUGGUGAAGGUUGUUAUUUAACCUAGUAUAUGUAAGUUGGGGGUAUGCUUCCUAGAAAAGCUACUCCAAUACUAAUUUAAUAGGUAAUUAUAUUUAUACUUAGAUAGGUAAUUAUUUCCCAUUGUCAUUUUAUAGUUACAUAAUUUGUAUUUUUCUAACUCAGAGGUUGUCAAAAAUCUAAGUAGUUAUAUUUAAUAAAUAUUUAUUUGUUUUUGUA